GAACGCGAAGAACCUUACCCGGGCUUGAAUUGCAGAGGAAGGAUUUAGAGAUAAUGACGCCCUUCGGGGCCUCUGUGAAGGUGCUGCAUGGUUGUCGUCAGCUCGUGCCGUGAGGUGUCGGCUUAAGUGCCAUAACGAGCGCAACCCCUCUCUUCAGUUGCCAUCAGGUGAUGCUGGGCACUCUGGAGACACUGCCACCGUAAGGUGUGAGGAAGGUGGGGAUGACGUCAAAUCAGCACGGCCCUUACGUCCGGGGCUACACACGUGUUACAAUGGCCGGUACAGAGGGAUGGUGUAAUGCAAAUUGCAUCAAAUCUUGAAAGCCGGUCCCAGUUCGGACUGGGGUCUGCAACCCGACCCCACGAAGCUGGAUUCGCUAGUAAUCGCGGAUCAGAAUGCCGCGGUGAAUACGUUCCCGGGUCUUGUACACACC
rnacentral:rRNA from 1 species